UUGUUUGAUCUCUUUAAUGUUAGCUUUUAACCGUUUUGAUCUCCAGUUAUUGGUUAGGUGUGGAGUACCUACAAAAAGACUUCGAUGUAUAGAUGUUUAAGAAGUGUAUGUCUAAGUUAGUAGGAAUACAUGUGUCGUCCUGUUUAUAAUGACAGUAAUUAUCAAAUUGGUAACUGACGACGUGUAUGUGACGUAGGUGAUCGGUACACACUAAGAGUUUAAGAACCAAACUCUUAAUUAUAUACUCAAGAAGAAACAUAAACACUUGCCCAUCAUGCACACCAUGUUGGUCCAAUUUUAUACUUGAUUAGAAUUAUAGUUCAUAAUUCAUGUCCUCAACUUACUUGUAAGAUCUUUUAGAGGAUAAACCCUUUGUUUUUUUUUUGUUUUUUUAUUGAGAAUUAAGUCUUGCAAUUUUUUUCACAAUAGUGGGAUGAAGUUAUGAUCGUGCUAAGCUCUUCACCACUUUUAAGUUUAAAGUUUAAACUCUCAAAAGACAUUAUUACGAGCCCUUUUUAGUUAUGAAUUAUAAAAUGAAAUAUUUAAAAUUAAAAAAAAAUAGAAAUUGAAUAAAAGCAGGCUGCUAAGUGGAAAGACUGAAAGAGGAUUGUAGAUUUGUUGAUUUGUAUUCAAAGAUUAAUUGCGGUGCUCUGAAUCUUGUAAAGGGGGGAACCCCUUGAUGCAAUGUACUGAAAACGUUAAUAUUCAAAUAGAUUCGUAGAAUAAAAAAAUACUCC
rnacentral:lncRNA from 1 species